GAUGAACGCUGGCGUCGUGCCUAAUACAUGCAAGUCGAGCGAACAGACGAGGAGCUUGCUCCUCUGACGUUAGCGGCGGACGGGUGAGUAACACGUGGAUAACCUACCUAUAAGACUGGGAUAACUUCGGGAAACCGGAGCUAAUACCGGAUAAUAUAUUGAACCGCAUGGUUCAAUAGUGAAAGACGGUUUUGCUGUCACUUAUAGAUGGAUCCGCGCCGCAUUAGCUAGUUGGUAAGGUAACGGGUUACCAAGGCAACGAUGCGUAGCCGACCUGAGAGGGUGAUCGGCCACACUGGAACUGAGACACGGUCCAGACUCCUACGGGAGGCAGCAGUAGGGAAUCUUCCGCAAUGGGCGAAAGCCUGACGGAGCAACGCCGCGUGAGUGAUGAAGGUCUUCGGAUCGUAAAACUCUGUUAUUAGGGAAGAACAAAUGUGUAAGUAACUAUGCACGUCUUGACGGUACCUAAUCAGAAAGCCACGGCUAACUACGUG
rnacentral:rRNA from 1 species